GCUAAAAGGUUAUCGCGUCCCGAUUGAAAAUCGGAAUACCGCAGGUUAGAAUCCUGC
rnacentral:tRNA from 1 species